AUUAUUUUGGCAGAUUUAAGUGCGUUAAAUUUAGAAUUUAAUUAUAUAUAUAUAUUAUAUAAAUAAUA
rnacentral:tRNA from 1 species